rnacentral:rRNA from 1 species
GUGCCUAUACAUGCAAGUAGAACGCUGAAGAGAGGAGCUUGCUCUUCUUGGAUGAGUUGCGAACGGGUGAGUAACGCGUAGGUAACCUGCCUUGUAGCGGGGGAUAACUAUUGGAAACGAUAGCUAAUACCGCAUAACAAUGGAUGACACAUGUCAUUUAUUUGAAAGGGGCAAUUGCUCCACUACAAGAUGGACCUGCGUUGUAUUAGCUAGUAGGUGAGGUAAUGGCUCACCUAGGCGACGAUACAUAGCCGACCUGAGAGGGUGAUCGGCCACACUGGGACUGAGACACGGCCCAGACUCCUACGGGAGGCAGCAGUAGGGAAUCUUCGGCAAUGGGGGCAACCCUGACCGAGCAACGCCGCGUGAGUGAAGAAGGUUUUCGGAUCGUAAAGCUCUGUUGUAAGUCAAGAACGGGUGUGAGAGUGGAAAGUUCACACUGUGACGGUAGCUUACCAGAAAGGGACGGCUAACUACGUGCCAGCAGCCGCGGUAAUACGUAGGUCCCGAGCGUUGUCCGGAUUUAUUGGGCGUAAAGCGAGCGCAGGCGGUUUGAUAAGUCUGAAGUUAAAGGCUGUGGCUCAACCAUAGUUCGCUUUGGAAACUGUCAAACUUGAGUGCAGAAGGGGAGAGUGGAAUUCCAUGUGUAGCGGUGAAAUGCGUAGAUAUAUGGAGGAACACCGGUGGCGAAAGCGGCUCUCUGGUCUGUAACUGACGCUGAGGCUCGAAAGCGUGGGGAGCGAACAGGAUUAGAUACCCUGGUAGUCCACGCCGUAAACGAUGAGUGCUAGGUGUUGGAUCCUUUCCGGGAUUCAGUGCCGCAGCUAACGCAUUAAGCACUCCGCCUGGGGAGUACGACCGCAAGGUUGAAACUCAAAGGAAUUGACGGGGGCCCGCACAAGCGGUGGAGCAUGUGGUUUAAUUCGAAGCAACGCGAAGAACCUUACCAGGUCUUGACAUCCCGAUGCUAUUUCUAGAGAUAGAAAGUUACUUCGGUACAUCGGUGACAGGUGGUGCAUGGUUGUCGUCAGCUCGUGUCGUGAGAUGUUGGGUUAAGUCCCGCAACGAGCGCAACCCCUAUUGUUAGUUGCCAUCAUUCAGUUGGGCACUCUAGCGAGACUGCCGGUAAUAAACCGGAGGAAGGUGGGGAUGACGUCAAAUCAUCAUGCCCCUUAUGACCUGGGCUACACACGUGCUACAAUGGUUGGUACAACGAGUUGCGAGUCGGUGACGGCGAGCUAAUCUCUUAAAGCCAAUCUCAGUUCGGAUUGUAGGCUGCAACUCGCCUACAUGAAGUCGGAAUCGCUAGUAAUCGCGGAUCAGCACGCCGCGGUGAAUACGUUCCCGGGCCUUGUACACACCGCCCGUCACACCACGAGAGUUUGUAACACCCGAAGUCGGUGAGGUAACCUUUUGGAGCCAGCCGCGUAA